rnacentral:rRNA from 1 species
GAUGAACGCUAGCGGGAGGCGUAACACAUGCAAGCCGAGCGGUAUUGUUUCUUCGGAAAUGAGAGAGCGGCGUACGGGUGCGGAACACGUGUGCAACCUGCCUUUAUCUGGGGGAUAGCCUUUCGAAAGGAAGAUUAAUACUCCAUAAUAUAUUGAUUGGCAUCAAUUAAUAUUGAAAGCUCCGGCGGAUAGAGAUGGGCACGCGCAAGAUUAGCUAGUUGGUGAGGUAACGGCUCACCAAGGCGAUGAUCUUUAGGGGGCCUGAGAGGGUGAUCCCCCACACUGGUACUGAGACACGGACCAGACUCCUACGGGAGGCAGCAGUGAGGAAUAUUGGUCAAUGGGUGCAAGCCUGAACCAGCCAUCCCGCGUGAAGGACGACUGCCCUAUGGGUUGUAAACUUCUUUUGUAUAGGGAUAAACCUACCCUCGUGAGGGUAGCUGAAGGUACUAUACGAAUAAGCACCGGCUAACUCCGUGCCAGCAGCCGCGGUAAUACGGAGGGUGCAAGCGUUAUCCGGAUUUAUUGGGUUUAAAGGGUCCGUAGGCGGACUUAUAAGUCAGUGGUGAAAGCCUGUCGCUUAACGAUAGAACUGCCAUUGAUACUGUAAGUCUUGAGUAUAUUUGAGGUAGCUGGAAUAAGUAGUGUAGCGGUGAAAUGCAUAGAUAUUACUUAGAACACCAAUUGCGAAGGCAGGUUACCAAGAUAUAACUGACGCUGAGGGACGAAAGCGUGGGGAGCGAACAGG